rnacentral:rRNA from 1 species
CUACGGGGGGCUGCAGUGGGGAAUAUUGCACAAUGGGCGCAAGCCUGAUGCAGCCAUGCCGCGUGUAUGAAGAAGGCCUUCGGGUUGUAAAGUACUUUCAGCGGGGAGGAAGGGAGUAAAGUUAAUACCUUUGCUCAUUGACGUUACCCGCAGAAGAAGCACCGGCUAACUCCGUGCCAGCAGCCGCGGUAAUACGGAGGGCGCAAGCGUUAAUCGGAAUUACUGGGCGUAAAGCGCACGCAGGCGGUUUGUUAAGUCAGAUGUGAAAUCCCCGGGCUCAACCUGGGAACUGCAUCUGAUACUGGCAAGCUUGAGUCUCGUAGAGGGGGGUAGAAUUCCAGGUGUAGCGGUGACAUGCGUAGAGAUCUGGAGGAAUACCGGUGGCGAAGGCGGCCCCCUGGACGAAGACUGACGCUCAGGUGCGAAAGCGUGGGGGGCAAACAGGAUUAGAUACCCCUGUAGUC